rnacentral:rRNA from 2 species
UUGCCUUGUACACACCGCUCGUCACGCAAAUUAUUAUA